GUGGGGAAUCUUCCGCAAUGGACGAAAGUCUGACGGAGCGACGCCGCGUGAGUGAUGAAGGCCUUCGGGUCGUAAAGCUCUGUCAUCGGGGACGAACGGCCUCAGCAGGUAAUGGCUGGGGAUUGACGGUACCCGAGAAGGAAGCCACGGCUAACUACGUGCCAGCAGCCGCGGUAAUACGUAGGUGGCAAGCGUUGUCCGGAAUUAUUGGGCGUAAAGCGCGCGCAGGUGGGAUCUUAAGUCCAUUUUGAAAGUUCGGAGCUCAACUCCGUGAUGGGAUGGAAACUGGGAUUCUUGAGUACCGGAGAGGAAAGCGGAAUUCCCCGUGUAGCGGUGAAAUGCGUAGAUAUGGGGAGGAACACCAGUGGCGAAGGCGGCUUUCUGGACGGUGUCUGACACUGAGGCGCGAAAGCCAGGGGAGCGAACGGGAUUAGAUACCCUGGUAGUCC
rnacentral:rRNA from 1 species